rnacentral:lncRNA from 1 species
GACAAAGGAGACGGGCCCCUUUUGUUCUGUCGAUAAGAGUGUUCACAGCUUUGUUAUCUGAUCCAUUGAGCAUUGUUGAUCCAUGGAACGCUCUAGAAAAGCAGACCUGUAAUUCAAUCGAGUACCUAGCAUGCCAAGCAAAAGAUUUGCGUGUCAUUUCGAUGAAGGAGCAAAGUUAAUUAGUGGGCCGUAAGAUUAAUGAUGGAACUCGAGUACUGUAGCAGGUCCGACAAAACUAGGAAAAUGAAGAGCUAUUCUGAUAUUUUUGACUAGAUAUAACAUAUCAAAGGAAUAACAUAGCAGUAUAAUCAUCUUUCAGUCCAUCGUACCUGCUUUUAACCGUCAAUCAUUCAAGAUAAAACAAAACUAACUAAUCAGCCAUGUUUCUAAACUCUAAAGCUGCUUUUCUCAUAGUUGCCAAGUAGUUUCACCAGCUAGAGACCCUGUACCUGAAUGAUCAGUCAGUUCCCAAAAGCCGCAUUAGGUACAUGCCUGUAACUUUGCAGGCCUCACCAUUGCAAUUGCCAUCCCCACUACCACCACCCUGAACCCCAAUUUCUC